rnacentral:rRNA from 1 species
GACACACGGCGGGUGCUAACGUCCGUCGUGAAGAGGGAAACAACCCAGACCGCCAGCUAAGGUCCCAAAGUCAUGGUUAAGUGGGAAACGAUGUGGGAAGGCCCAGACAGCCAGGAUGUUGGCUUAGAAGCAGCCAUCAUUUAAAGAAAGCGUAAUAGCUCACUGGUCGAGUCGGCCUGCGCGGAAGAUGUAACGGGGCUAAACCAUGCACCGAAGCUGCGGCAGCGACACUCAGGUGUUGUUGGGUAGGGGAGCGUUCUGUAAGCCUGCGAAGGUGGCCUGUGAGGGUUGCUGGAGGUAUCAGAAGUGCGAAUGCUGACAUAAGUAACGAUAAAGCGGGUGAAAAGCCCGCUCGCCGGAAGACCAAGGGUUCCUGUCCAACGUUAAUCGGGGCAGGGUGAGUCGACCCCUAAGGCGAGGCCGAAAGGCGUAGUCGAUGGGAAACGGGUUAAUAUUCCCGUACUUGGUGUUACUGCGAAGGGGGGACGGAGAAGGCUAUGUUGGCCGGGCGACGGUUGUCCCGGUUUAAGCGUGUAGGUGUGUGUUCCAGGUAAAUCCGGUUCACUUUAACACUGAGGCGUGAUGACGAGGCACUACGGUGCUGAAGCAACAAAUGCCCUGCUUCCAGGAAAAGCCUCUAAGCAUCAGGUAACAUCAAAUCGUACCCCAAACCGACACAGGUGGUCAGGUAGAGAAUACCAAGGCGCUUGAGAGAACUCGGGUGAAGGAACUAGGCAAAAUGGUGCCGUAACUUCGGGAGAAGGCACGCUGACACGUAGGUGAAGUGAUUUACUCAUGGAGCUGAAGUCAGUCGAAGAUACCAGCUGGCUGCAACUGUUUAUUAAAAACACAGCACUGUGCAAACACGAAAGUGGACGUAUACGGUGUGACGCCUGCCCGGUGCCGGAAGGUUAAUUGAUGGGGUCAGCGCAAGCGAAGCUCCUGAUCGAAGCCCCGGUAAACGGCGGCCGUAACUAUAACGGUCCUAAGGUAGCGAAAUUCCUUGUCGGGUAAGUUCCGACCUGCACGAAUGGCGUAAUGAUGGCCAGGCUGUCUCCACCCGAGACUCAGUGAAAUUGAACUCGCUGUGAAGAUGCAGUGUACCCGCGGCAAGACGGAAAGACCCCGUGAACCUUUACUAUAGCUUGACACUGAACAUUGAGCCUUGAUGUGUAGGAUAGGUGGGAGGCUUUGAAGUGUGGACGCCAGUCUGCAUGGAGCCGGCCUUGAAAUACCACCCUUUAAUGUUUGAUGUUCUAACGUGGACCCGUGAUCCGGGUUGCGGACAGUGUCUGGUGGGUAGUUUGACUGGGGCGGUCUCCUCCUAAAGAGUAACGGAGGAGCACGAAGGUUGGCUAAUCCUGGUCGGACAUCAGGAGGUUAGUGCAAUGGCAUAAGCCAGCUUGACUGCGAGCGUGACGGCGCGAGCAGGUGCGAAAGCAGGUCAUAGUGAUCCGGUGGUUCUGAAUGGAAGGGCCAUCGCUCAACGGAUAAAAGGUACUCCGGGGAUAACAGGCUGAUACCGCCCAAGAGUUCAUAUCGACGGCGGUGUUUGGCACCUCGAUGUCGGCUCAUCACAUCCUGGGGCUGAAGUAGGUCCCAAGGGUAUGGCUGUUCGCCAUUUAAAGUGGUACGCGAGCUGGGUUUAGAACGUCGUGAGACAGUUCGGUCCCUAUCUGCCGUGGGCGCUGGAGAACUGAGGGGGGCUGCUCCUAGUACGAGAGGACCGGAGUGGACGCAUCACUGGUGUUCGGGUUGUCAUGCCAAUGGCACUGCCCGGUAGCUAAAUGCGGAAGAGAUAAGUGCUGAAAGCAUCUAAGCACGAAACUUGCCCCGAGAUGAGUUCUCCCUGAGACUUUAGGUCUCCUGAAGGAACGUUGAAGACGACGACGUUGAUAGGCCGGGUGUGUAAGCGCAGCGAUGCGUUGAGCUAACCGGUACUAAUGAACCGUGAGGCUUAACCUUACA